rnacentral:lncRNA from 1 species
AAAUAUAUUUUGAAGUAAUUAAAGAAGACUAAAAAGACAUACUCUUUUCAUUGAUACAAGAUAACAGCAAAUAGAAGGAUAUACAGUCCUUCUACGACAUAGACGGACGUACACAAAUAGAAAGAAACUUGCAUGCAGCAGACUAUGAGACUAGUCUAGCAUGACAAUUAUUGAAAGCCAGAAAAAGCAACAACACAUAUUAGAUGCAUGUAUAGCCCUUCAUCUUUACAUGCAUGCAUGCUUGUUUAGGCUGCAGUAAUAGAAGCCUUGGUGCAAAGAGCAGAACAUGCCUGGCUACAUUUUUC